rnacentral:rRNA from 1 species
UACAGAGGUCUCAAGCGUUGUUCGGAUUCAUUGGGCGUAAAGGGUGCGUAGGCGGCGCGGUAAGUCGGUGUGAAAUCUCGGAGCUUAACUCCGAACUGCAUUCGAUACUGCCGUGCUUGAGGACUGGAGAGGAGACUGGAAUUUACGGUGUAGCGGUGAAAUGCGUAGAUAUCGUAAGGAAGACCAGUGGCGAAGGCGGUCUC